rnacentral:rRNA from 1 species
AGCGCAGCUGAUCAUCAUGCCGCGUGCAGGAAGAAGGCCUUCGGGUUGUAAACUGCUUUUGUCAGGGAAGAAAUCCUCUGGGUUAAUACCUCGAGGGGGAUGACGGUACCUGAAGAAUAAGCACCGGCUAACUACGUGCCAGCAGCCGCGGUAAUACGUAGGGUGCGAGCGUUAAUCGGAAUUACUGGGCGUAAAGCGUGCGCAGGCGGUUUUGUAAGACAGAGGUGAAAUCCCCGGGCUCAACCUGGGAACUGCCUUUGUGACUGCAAGGCUGGAGUACGGCAGAGGGGGAUGGAAUUCCGCGUGUAGCAGUGAAAUGCGUAGAUAUGCGGAGGAACACCGAUGGCGAAGGCAAUCCCCUGGGCCUGUACUGACGCUCAUGCACGAAAGCGUGGGGAGCAAACAGGAUUAGAUACCCUGGUAGUCCACGCCCUAAACGAUGUCAACUGGUUGUUGGACGGCUUGCUGUACAAGUAACGAAGCUAACGCGUGAAGUUGACCGCCUGAGGAGUACGGCCGCCAAGUUGGAACUCAAAGGAAUUUGACGGGGAACCGCACAAGCGGUGGCUGAUGUGGUUUAAU